UACAGAGGUCUCAAGCGUUGUUCGGAUUCAUUGGGCGUAAAGGGUGCGUAGGCGGCGCGGUAAGUCGGGUGUGAAAUCCCCGGGCUCAACCUGGGAACUGCAUCCGAAACUGCCUUGCUCGAGUAUGGGAGAGGGAAGUGGAAUUUCCGGUGUAGCGGUGAAAUGCGUAGAUAUCGGAAGGAACAUCAGUGGCGAAGGCGACUUCCUGGACCAAUACUGACGCUCAGGUGCGAAAGCGUGGGGAGCAAACAGG
rnacentral:rRNA from 1 species